UGAGUAACCUGCCCCUGACUUCGGGAUAAGCCUGGGGAAACCGGGUCUAAUACCGGAUACAACGGACCACCGCAUGGCGGUCCGUGGAAAGCUUUAUGCGGUUUUGGAUGGACUCGCGGCCUAUCAGCUAGUUGGUUGGGGUAAUGGCCCACCAAGGCGACGACGGGUAGCCGGCCUGAGAGGGUGACCGGCCACACUGGGACUGAGACACGGCCCAGACUCCUACGGGAGGCAG
rnacentral:rRNA from 1 species